GGAGAAGUAUAUUCCUGAAGAAGAAGUAGCCCAAUGGAAUAUCCAUGUUUUGCAUCACAGCAACCAGGAGGAUUCCAGCAGCUGUGGAGUUUUGAUCUUGAUGUUUGCCAAGGAGUUUCUUCAGACCAGAACCAUACAGGCAGUGAAGACCUCUGCAGAAGAUGUAGCUAAUGCUCGACUGGAAAUAUCGUCUGCCCUACUCCAGUAUAAAGUUCCAGAGGGAAGGAGCAAACCCAUUUGAGGAGUCCCUGCAUAAGAGACUAUUGGAUAUUGAAGGGCUGUACUACAGUGGCGGCUCUAGACUUGGCGAGGCUUUAGUCGAAACUCAUACAUGAGGCCACCACGAACACCAUUAUUGAAAAGGAAAAAAAAAAUAGCAGUUGACUUUGUGUAUAAGAAGCUGUAAAUAUAUUGAUGGGGGAGCUUCCAGCACUGGAUACAGAGAGCUAGUCUCUGUUUACAUCGUUGCAAUGUCUACCUGAGUGUGUGUCUGGCAGUGAGUAUCCUUGUAUCUGUAUGUAUGUUUCUCUGAGCAAGUGUAUGUUUGUGUACUGCCUGUGGCCUUUGGCACUGAGUUUAUGGCAAAGCUCUGUCUUAUGACAGUGUGUAUAAUGAUUGCCUUCAGGGGGUGGCAGGGUGAGUGUAAAAGAGCAGGAGGGUGCCAGAGUGUUGACAGUGUGUAUGGAGGGAGGUGCCAAAGUGCGGAGAGUGGUGCCCGUGUGAGAAUAGA